rnacentral:lncRNA from 1 species
UCUCUUAACUUUGAGAAUUCCUUUUCAUGGAAAAGAAAUGAUACUGUUUGUGUUUACUUUGGCUUAUGCAUGAGCAUAAAUGGUUUGCAUCCUGUUUGAUACGGUUAGAUAUGCAAUCAGAAAAUCUCAACAAGAACUAGAAAUUCGGGAGUGCCGAAAUACUCUCCUAAACUUCCUCCAACCAAAAUUUCCACCCACAAAAUAGAGCCUUCAAACCCUACAAAAAUCCUUGCAAGUUCUCCUUCCUACCCCUUCUCUCGUAUAAAUGGAUGAUAGGGGGGCCUCACAGAUAAGUGCUCAGAUCCAUGCUUUAUCUUCAUUCAAACCUUUUUCCACUUUCUAUAUUGUGCUUUGUGAUUACUUCUAGUUGGAAAAUGGACAAGAGCUACUUGAACUUGGAAACGUUUGUAUCAGUUAUAGCUGAGUUACAAGUAGACUCUAGCAUGCGUAUCAGUUAUAAUGGUUUUUCAUUACUUUGAAGAGGUUGCUAAUCAUCCUAGACCACUCGCCUGAAGGGAAAAAAUAAGUACAUCAAUUUCAAGGCUUUAUUAGUUCUCAACACUUUCAAGCCUUGUGUUGUAUGUGUAAGCUAACUAUCAGUGGUUCAAAUAAUGAUCCUGAUUAUGGAAUGCUGUGUGCGUAGGAUGGGAGGUAACUCAGUGGGAUUUUGGGAUACUAGGAAAGAAAUGAGAGUACACACUAGCUGUUUAAGUUCAAUAGCAAGCAGUUAUUUUGUCAAACUUCGAACGAACUUGAUUCUAAGGGUAAUAUAUUAAGGCAAUGAGUUCUUUGAUUUCAUUGUGCUUUGAAUUGUCUAAAUAGGGAACACUCUCGGUGAGAUAGCUUCAGAGAAAGCUGGUAUCUUUAAGGUUAGCUUCAAAUAACUUUUCUUAAAGUAUGAGUGACUAGGACUAAUCAAUUUAAUGUUUGUUGUUGUCCUUUCACUUUGGUACAGCGUGGGGCUCCAGCUUUUACUGUAUUUCAACCUGAUGAAGCCAUGCGUGUGCUUAAAGAUAAGGCUUCACAGUUGGAUGUAUGUGAGAGAUCUUCAUUCGUAUAAUCACCAUAAGACCUGAUCCUUACUGUAAUGUUUGAAUUUUAUUUUACUACCCUUCAUGAAUAUGCAUUGUUCAUACUAGGGCACUUGAAACAAUGCCACGUUAAAUUCAUACAAUCUGAUUGGUACUAUACCAGCUAGGAAAUGUUUUCAACCUUCCCUCAAAAUGAAUUGCAACAAUUUUGCAUCACAGGUGCAACUUACAGUAGUGCCAUCAUUGGAUCCCGAGCUACUUCACGGUCGUAAACUUGGGCUUGAAGGCGAGCACCAGUAUCUAAAUGCUGGUCUUGCUGUUGCCCUAUCCUCCACUUGGCUUCACAGGUCUGGCCAUUCCGAACUGUCAUAUGUAGAGCAAAGUGUAAGUUCUACAUGGAGAUUUAUCUUCAGUCUUCCAUAAAUUAUCUUCUGUUUUCUGAUUCUUUUUCUUUUUUAAAAAAUAUAUGUUAUCAGAGGUCUUUGCCUGAGCAGUUUAUAGAAGGGCUUACAACUGCCAGCUUUGAAGGACGAGCACAGAUUGUUCCUGAUAGAUAUACUGAUGUUGAAUGCCCAGAUGAACUUGUAUUUUAUUUGGAUGGAGCCCAUAGUCCUGAGAGCAUGGAGGCUUGUGGUAGAUGGUUUUCUGCUGCAGUAAGACAUAACCAGCUAGGGAAUUUAAAUCAUCAGUCGGAGGAUAAUGGUAGUGGUACAUCUUCAAAUAAGCUUCAAGGAUAUGAUAACGAUGAAGCAAGGAAGAAAUCAGUACAGGUAGACAUCUACCUAAGUUCAACUUUUCCAAGCUCAUUUUAUUGUUUGUUAAGAAAAAGUAGACCAUAAGUAACUAAAUUAGAUAGUUUCAUUUUGGAAACCUAUACAAAUGGCCUUAUUGGGUUUGAAUCAAUAUAUCAAAAGGUGGGAGAUGAGGAACAAUGAAAUUUUCCUUUGCUAACAUCAACAAAACAUACUCUGGCAUGGUCUCCCCUCGCCUUCAAAGUGUUAUGGUGGUCUAUCGCUCACAGUACAAGGGAUUCAGACUAUGAUUGAAAAUUAAGAGUCGAUAGGAAUAAUUGUUGUCUUCCUUUGCGGAAGUGUGAAGUUCCAGGACCAUGACCUCUCAUAGUGGAGAAGUAGCUUAACAAGCCGAUCGACUCUUUUUGAUAUUUCCUUCAGUAAAAGUACAAGGGACAAAAUUUCCCUUCACUUUAGCAGCUAUAUUCUAAGUACAUCCAUGAAAUGUUUAAGCACUCCUUUCAAGUUCUACCUUCCAUAAAGAUAAGCAUUUAACUCAUAAUUCAUUUGUAUGGCGCUUCAACUUCUAUAGGUGCUUUUUAACCUAGUAUUGUUGGACACUGUAGGUGCUACUGUUCAAUUGUAUGGCCGUACGAGACCCUCAAUUGCUUCUUCCACCUCUGAUCAAAACUUGUGCAAACAAUGGUAUGUAUUUGUCGAACUCUUGGAACUGAAUAGUCAGGUGGUCAGAAGGGAUUUAUACAUAAUAAUUUCUACAUCUAUGUGUGUGUGCUUUUCUUAAGAUAUAAAGCCAAUAUAAAGAAGGCUCAACUCAUAUGUUGGUUUUUAUCUCAAUUCUCAUUCUUGUUGCUCAAGGUGUUCUUGUCUUCAAACGUCUCAUUUAUUGCAAGAUGAUUCUUUUCUCCAAUGUGAUCGUCCAUCUUAAACUUUUUCUUUAGUUGUUAAUGGUAAAGAGAAACUUGAACAGAUUUUGUUGGUAUGCUACAAUAAAAUGGACCCAAGGAUAUGGAUGGAUAUCUCAGGAUUCUAAAUGAGAGUGAGUAUACUUUAGGUACUAAAUAUAACAUUACUCAGAGUAAUAAAAUAAGUUUUCUUAUAUAACUCAGGUGUCAACUUCAAGAAAGCACUCUUUGUUCCAAAUACAUCAGUCUUUAACAAGGUUGGAACCCAUGGUUUACCAGAAACAGAUGAGCAAGUUGAUCUUUCUUGGCAGUUUCAUGUUCGAAGGAUAUGGGAGGACACCAAGCAAUGUGACAAAGGUAUUAUUGGCUUAUGCCAAUAACUUUCCAUGUAACCAAACUAGUCUUUUCGAAGUGUUUGGGUUCCUCUUUUUUUAAGAACCUUUUUUGAACUGUUGGAACCAUUCUUUAUCCUUACCCAAACAGCUUACAUACUUUGACAUAUCAGGAAGUGAUUCUAAAGGGACUGGUGCUGUACUUGAAGAAGAAAGUGAAAAAUCAGAAGUGGGUGGUAAGAAUUGUGGGAAUAGCACAGUGUUUUCUUCUCUUCCACUGGCUAUUAAAUGGCUCCGGGAUAGUGUCUUGCAGCAGAAUCGGUCCGUUCGACUUCAGGUAAUGCCUUUUGAAGAAAAUGAGUUUUUUUUUUUUCCUUUUUCUGUUUUUGAAAAUGAUCCAAUUGUUUUUUUAGUGACAAUAGUUAUUUGGGACAAGUCAAAGUACUUAAGUUGGUUUUUGUACCAUAUGUUCAUAUAUUAUAGAUCAUUACCCCCUAAGAUUUUUUAGGCUUAAGUUGGUUUUUGGACCGCUGUAAGAUUUUUUAGGCUAUAGGCACACUUUUACUAGCUAAACCCUAAACCCAACUAAGAAAAAGAAUGAAAGUAAGCUUUCAUUUCUCCGGGAAGAUUUCAAGCAUGUUUAAAAUGACUUUUUAUAUACUUAAAAACACUUCUUUUAAGCACUACCAAUUGGAUUGUACAUCCAAAAUAGCGAUAAAAAGACGUGAUCCCAAGGCCCAAGCAGAUACUUGACAUGUGUAACCUCUCUUAUGGGUCCAUCACAAGGAAAACGAAAACCAAGAUUUUCUUUUUUGGGUAUCUAAUGCAAGCUACGAGAAAAUAGAACACCUUUCAAAAGUAUCAACAUCACCGUUACAUGAAAAUGCAUGAAUAUGAUGUACCAAGAGAGUCAUUCCAAACCGACUCUUCUUUAUCAUUGAACUUGGACUAAUGAGGAAUAUUUUGUGCUUUCUAUUUUUCAGGUUCUUGUAACUGGAUCCUUGCAUCUUGUAGGAGAUGUACUGAAAUUAAUCAAGUGAAGUAUGGGAACAGUUUGGAGUUCAUUGUGAUAGGACUAAGCUUGGCAUGGGGGACAAGAACCUGGUGCUAGAUUUCUGAUUAACAUUCAUCUUCUCAGAUUUUGGGCCGCAACACCAUUUUUGUUUAAUAAUUAGACCACAAGAAUUUAGGCAAUAUUGGUCAUAUCAGGGUUACAUUUGUUCUCUAUUUCAUUAAUUAUUCUUAUGCUUCAGAACCGAACAAUAAUGAAAAUUGGAAAUAUAGAAACUAUUCUUAAUAUAUCACAUUUCCAGGGUUGGUUCACUGUUUCUGCCUAAUAAUAUUCUCAGAUAUUAUAUUAUCAUCAAUAGUGAUUAAUAAGUUUAUCGAACAAAAGGUUAUAAUAUUUUUAUAACCCACUACAGCACAAGAUCUAAAUCUGACAUCAACUUGAGUUUUUUAACAUCAUCAAGAAUUUAGCAUCUUGUCAGUUGAAUGACUGUAUUGCCUAGGUAGUUGUGUCAGUUAUUAUUUUAUUUUAUUAUUUGUUUUUUGAGUUUAGGGUUAGGGAUUCCAGUACGAGGUGUUCGCCCUAACCAAUUACCUAAUCUUUAGCUUCACAAUGAAUGAUUGAUAUAAAAAAUUUGAACACAUGACUAUUUCGAUAUCAUCAUUAAGUUGGUGAACGGAGAUAAAUUUAAUAUAAUAUUAUCCAACAAUAAGAAAUAGUUUAACUAUUGUAUUUAAACUUUAAUUGUCAUUAACAGUGUGGUUAUGACAGAUUUUCAUCUAAAACUAAGAGUAAGACAUAGUCCAUGUAGGUUAAAUUGUAAAUUUCAAAUUGGUUGAUGCGUUUGACUCAAAUUUGCAAAUAAUAAUAAAAGGAAACAUUAUUUGUAUCUAAAAACUAUAAUGCAGUGCACAAAAACAAGAAAAUGGAGAAGCAUUAUGAAACAGCCCAAAUUAAGCUAAUGAUGCAGGCUACACAGCUGGAAACUAACAAAACAAUUCAAUCUGUUGGCAGUUGGCAACUUAUAAACCAAAUAUAUUUAAAAUACUAAGCUGGGACUAUUUUCUUGACACUUACUAAGUUAGUAUUAUUUCUCAAAUUUUUAAAUGUUUAUAGCUAUUUUUUACACAAAAAAACCAUCUAAAACUUCUUGUGUAUAUAGAUAUUUUCUUUAACUCGUUUCUCAAUUUUGGGGUAUUUUUUGAUACUUUGAAAAUUUUAGGAACAUUUUUGAGACAAGGAAGCUUGUAGGCAUUUAAACAUCAACAGAUUCUUGGCAAUAAAAAAAUUAUCCUUUUCCCUCUCUCUUACAACUUUUAUUCCAAACUACAUGAUUUGAUAUCUAAUUUAAUAUUUUUAUGAUAAUAAAGUAUUGAGUUAUAAUAAAUAAAAAUGUGAGAUGCCAAAAUCACAAUUGAGUCAUUUGACAUUAAAUGCUUAUUCUAAAAUUUAAUUUAAAAUAUGAAUAGAAUUAUUAUCACAAUUUCUCAUUUUAGGAAAAAAGAUUGUUGUAAACCAAUCCUCGUUAAUCAACGGUAAUGCAAACUAAAAAGAAUGGCAAUGAUAAAUUCUUAAUGGAACUCUUUACAAGCAAUUUUUUUUUAAAAAAAAAUUAGAUCAAUAAAUUUGGUUAUAAUUUGAAAAUAAUUUUAAUUUUUUUGUUAUAUUUAAAAAUGUCUCACAUUAUAUAAAUUAAUUCAAAUAACACAACCAACAAAUUUCUAUAAUUUCCAUAGUUUCAGCAUAAUGUAUGAUAAUUUAUUUUUAAUAUUAUAUACAAGAAAUUGAAUGAACCAUCAACAAAUUCAUGUUAAAUAAAACAAUAAUAAUGGUAUAACAUAAUUUUUCUUAAAAAAAUUAACUAAAACAACAGAAUUAAAUUUCUUAUGAGUUAGCUAGACACUAAAAAACUAUAAAAGGCCAAUUUGUUUGCGAUUAAUCUUUAAAUAGAGAGAAAAUGACCUAAAACAAUCUGGCUAGUGGCAUAUUUGGUAAUAAAGAUUUAAUUUUCCACCGUAUUUUCCGUUUCUAUUUUCCCUUAAUUCUUCCAUUUCUAUCACAUGAUUAUAUAAUUAAUUACUUUCUUCCCCAAAAAACAAAACAAAAAAACAAAAAACCUCUCCGUUUUAGAUUCAUAGAGAAUAGAGAAGAAUCUCUGUGCAAAUUGAUUUGCAGAAAUUGGAUUCAAUUUCUGCAAAUCAAUUCCAACAGAUCGAAUUACCUUCCUUUGAUGUCUCUAGCUCAUUCUCCCGACCUCUCUUCCGACGAAAAUGGCUUCCUGCAUAACGAUGACCUUCACGACGCUGUUUUCGCUACCCGUGGUUGUUGUUUAUGGAUCCCUUGCUUGAGGUCCAAUUCCUCACAGUCAUGGUGGGAGCGAAUUAGGGCUGCCGAUAACGACGAUGAAUGGUGGCUUAAAGGCUGGAAGAGAUUUCGCGAAUGGUCUGAAAUCGUCGCUGGCCCCAAAUGGAAAACCUUCAUUCGUCAAUUUCAUAAGAAUCGUAACCGUCAGUCUACUUUCCGUUACGAUCCCCUCAGUUAUUCUCUUAAUUUUGAUGAAGGUCCGGCUCAUGACGAUCCUUUCACCGAUGAUUUUGUACGACGUGAUUUCUCUACUCGAUUCGCCGCCAUUCCCGCUUCCGCUAAAUCGUCUAUGGACCUUGGUAAGGACAGUCCGUCCUUCAUUUGAGUCCGGAGUUGCGGCGGAAUAGACGGCAUUGCCUUUUGGAAUCUCGGUCUUCUCGGUUGGGUCUUGCCGGAGCCCCCGUACGCGGUGGCCUUCGGAGCAGCGGUGGAGAGAUUAGCGUUUUUGGGGACGAUGGAAACUAUGAAUCUGAAUUCGGUUAAUUUCUCGCCAUCGUAAAAAUUUAAAAAGUCGGUUUUUUCUUUUUAUCUUUUUUUUCAGGUAAUUUUAUUUUCCUUUAUAUAAUAUAAUAUAUAUAUAUAUAUUUCAAAAAAAAAAAAAAAAAAAAAGAAGAAUGUAAUGAUUUUGUAAAAUGUGAGAUUGUAAUUUGUAUAUGAUUAUAUUGUGUCUUUGUGAAUCCUAUGAUGAUAGAAAGUUUAAUAGAGCCCAAAAUUUACAAUUAAUUCCAAAUUUUAAGUUCAAUUACUUUUCACUAAUAUGAUUGACAUAAUGGAAUUUAUGUUGGUGAGUGAUUCUUUUAAUAUAACAUUGUAAAUAAAGUAAAAAAAAAUAUUGAAAAGAGAUAGAUUUGUAAGUGUGUAGUUUAAAAGACUAAUUUUGUUAGUCAUAGUUAUUUUAAGGCCAACAUAUAGUUUUGGGAGAUAUCUUUUAAGAUAGAAAGUUUAAGACCUCAAGUUGGAAAUAUAACAUCAUAAAACCUUAGACCCCACAAAAUUAAACACAUAACACUUUUGAGGCUUAUGAUGAAGCAAACAAAUGUGCCUAUUUGAUUAAUACUAACCAACUUCUUUUUAGAAAGUUUCUUUAUAAAGAAAUUAUUUCUCAUUUCCAACAUAUGCCGUUAAAAAUGAGUUUGAUUGAGGAUGAAAUAUUUUAAAAGAAAAAGUACUUGUUAGAAAUGAACUCAUUUACUGCUCUACUCCUUCUCUUACCUUUAAUAAUGUUAUCCAACAAGAAGAAAUCUACUUUUCCAACAUCUAUCAAUCAUACUAAUUUUAUUUUCAAUUUUCUUUUCCCCCACAAUCUUUAUUAACUUAAUUGCUAAGAACCCCAAAGGUCUUUUCUAAAACUAUUGUCAAAUUCUUUAAUGCAUAAUAAUGGUGAAUGGAAAAGAAGGGUGUCAAGAUUAAAAACAAAAGGACAAAUUCAAACUAAACUGACUUUUUCUUCAUUUAGUGUAAACAAAAUUAGACACCUCAAACUAUAGCUCAACUAAUCACAUUUAAGACAAAAGAGAGAAAGAAAGGGAAAGAGGGAAUGUGUUGGCAAUUCAAUUAAUUAUAUCAAUAUGUAUUUAGUUAGAUCAACAUCUUCACAUGGGAAACAUACAAAAAGAAAUAGAAAUAGGACCCCCAUUUACCCCUAAUACUAAUAAACACUCACUUUUUUUAAUAACAAAAUCUUCCUUCAUUAUUAGCUAACUCACUCGACCAACUUCCAAACAAGACAAAAAUGCUCUAUUAGUUUAGACAUAUUCCUUAACUUCAAUUAACAAGAGAAAAAUGCCCAACUAGUUUAAGAGUAAGCAUGGUAGUCCGAAAAACUGAGCCAACCAACCAAACUGAAGUUGGUCGGUCAAAAAACGAGAGAAGUCAAAGGCAGUCAAUUUGAAAAAAUUUCAAAUCGAGAAUUUUCAAACAGUAUUUCCAAGUGUUAAAUUAACCCCACCCGACAUAAACUAUGAUCAAUUCAGUGGUAGCUUCAUAAAAAAACCAACUCCUAUCAACCGAUGAUCACCCCUAGCUACAACGGUUAGUCAAAGUCCAUUUUCCAACAAAAUUGCCACCAAACCAUCUAUGUUUGAUUUAAUAAAUGUUCAAACCAAUUUUGAUUGUCAAGAAGUGUCAACGAACAUUUGAAAUGUUAGUUCUAUCUUUUUUUUAAAAAAUUAACGUUAGUUUGAAUUUUGUUUACAAGCCAGUAAGCAGCCCCUCCUUACGUGUGAUGGGCGAUCAACUCCUCAACCUCUUACAUUUAAAAGAGUGAUGCAAAAUCAUUGUAUGAAACCUCAAACCUUUGAUGGAUCCCACCAUCACUCUUUCUAUCCCCUUCAAAACCACAUUAUUUUCAAAGCAAGAGGGGCCUCAUAAAAGAAAAGCUUCUUCCAAUUGACAUAAAAGAAGAAUGAAAGAGAAAGAGGGAAAGGGAAAGUGGUUCAAAAGCUAUGGAAAAAAAAAAGUAAAAGGACAUGGUCCACUCAUUGGCACAUCUUAGGCAGGUGAUAAUGUUAGGGCAAGGCAGUGAGAGACAGAAUGCUUUUGGAGCCUUCUCCUCCUCUGCUUUGGAAGAUUUUAACAAACUAAAAUAUGCAAAAUGUUACAAGAAAGUUCUUUGGAGAUUUGAAAUAACCCAAAAUAAAGAAAAAGGAAAACCCAAUAUGUACAAAUUUCAGAAUCUGAAACUUCAAAAGUGAUUGAAUGAUGAGAUGUGUCUGUACAAUCAAUUAUAGAGACAGUAAAAUAUCAACAAAAAAAUGAAACGUACCCAAGAAAAAGAAAAGGAACAGGUAUUAUGACCUUUGUAGGCCUUCAAAAUACAAACAUCAAAAUGAAUCAAGAGAUCUACCACACUUGCGGAGUUCAUAUCUAUUGCUCCAAACUUUCUUCGGAUCAUGUCUAUCGUAUUAACGUUCGAGACAUCGUUGCUCUUCCUAUUCUAUAAAUCCUAUAUUCACAUCAUCAGAAAGUCGAGAACAGUUGAGAAGAAAAGGAUAUGAUUUCUGGUUUCAGUAGUAGGAGGAAAGACUAUUGGAUUGCGGAUACUAACACUUUUGUAAUAGUAAAUAACUCACAAGUUAGCACCAAGGUAAUUUCAUAGACAAAAAUCUAAAUAGAUACAACAAACAUUGAUAAGGAUCAUUUUCGACUACAAAAAAAGAAAAGAGGGAAAAAAAAAAAAAAACAGUUUUGAGGCCAUUUUUAUCAUGGCCCUUGUGUUUGCCUCAACCAUGGCGGCAAGUCUGUAUUUAGAGAAGAAGGCAUACCAAUAUGGGGUUCAGUGGAACCUGAGUACUUCCCCUUUUUCGACCAAAGCCAGAUCUUCGAAACAGAGUAACUCUCUCCUUUAGCUACACUACUAAGCUUCUUUCCAUCCAAAUCUGCUUGGACUGGAGAGAUGCUGUUUGAUUCCGCCUCUUUCGAGGGCUGUGUAUUAUCACCCUCUCCUCGAGCUUUAGAUAACGCAAUUCUGAGGUCAGCGUCUAUAACAACGUAUUGAUACGAUCCCAUCGAAUAACAUCUCCUAGCAUCCAAAUUACUACUACUGGUCUCACCAACUUCAGUCUCUACCACCUCCGCUGCAUCCAUCCUUCGGAAUUUCCCUAGUCUCACUGGGAAAACCCCCUUCUCAUUCACUACCUCUUGAAUUUCCAUUGUUUUCUGACAAUUAGGUAACCUGUGGUCUGCAUUACCAGCGCAUUCAUCUUCUUCACCCAGAUCGUCAAAAUCGUACAUUGGAUUUUCAAUCGAAAAACCAGGAUUAAAGAGAGUUCCACGACAAAGAGGACACGUCGAAUUCGACAAGAGCCAAGUGUCUAUACAAUUGACAUGGAAGGCAUGGCUACACAUAGGAAGUAAUCUGAGUUGGUCCUUAUCAGAAAACUCACACAAACAAACAGCACAAUCAAAUGGCUCCUUGAGACCCACAAUUUCUUUAUACUGAAAUACAGGAAGUGCAUCUAUAAAAGCUUGAUCUAAACCGGAAUCAUGAAGAUGAAAGAGCUGCUGCAGCUGUCUCUGAAGUGCAUCAGAAGGAGAAAGUUCAGGGUUUCUAUUAGAUUGAGAAGAAGCUGAAGAAGAUGGGUGUUUUAUAAGGAAUCUAACAAGAAGAUGAAGGAGACCAGAAAUGAAAAACAAAACAGCCAAAAUAACUAUGAUAAAAAGAACUGCUGGACUUAUCCUGGUGCCAGACGAGGUUGGAGAUGGAACUGCAGGUGGGUUUGGUUCCUUAUUGUAAAUUCCAUCAAAAGGGGUUGAAGAAGAAGCCGCUAAAGGAGGAGGGUAGCUAAAAAACCCAUCAUUUUGAAAGAUUUGAUGUCGAAUCCGAGCCAUUUUUCAAAUGGGGUUUCUCCAAAAACCACUUUUGACAUUCCACAGAUCAAAACAACUAAAACUUAAACCACACCCUUCAGAAUUCCAAAAUCAGUGCAACUCCAACAAUGCAAAAACAAACAAACCCCCAAAACUCUUGACCCCAGAUUUGGAAAAAGUAGAAGCAGCAGCAACCAGAAGUGUCACAAACAACAGAACCGACGUCUUUAAUCGAGAAUAAAAUGACAAUACCUCCAAGUAAAAGCCAAAGGAAUGCUAGAAAAAUAAUGAGAAGGAGAAAAGAAUAAUAAAUAAAAUAUUGAGAACUCACCAAACUGCCUCACCGCUAAUGUAAAUUUAAAAUUUGAAGCCCUUAUGUGACACCCAAAAGAAAGGAUUUGGAAAUAGGAGGACGAAGUUGAGUGGAAGAAGAGAAAGAAACCCUAAAACAGAGGAGUUUGGAGAAGAGAGAAGAUGGGUUUUUAGGGGGAUGGACCCUUUUUCUCUCUGAAGUCAAAUUUGGAGAGAAAUGGGAGAACCCCGUAAGAGUAACACUGAGACAAAGAGCUGAGAAGGGAAAAGGAAAAGAGGAGGUGGAGUGAGAUACACGCGCAAGGAGAGUGUGGGAGAGAAGAGAUUGGUCAACCAUAAGAGACAAAGUGGUGUAUGAAAAGAGUUGGGAGAGAGGAGAGGUGUGAAGUAGAUUGAAGUUCAACCAUCUUCUUCCUUUCUAAUGUGGACUCAUUUGCUUUUCCCUAAAUUCUACAAAUAUGCUCUUCAAUUUUACCCUUUCCCUCAAAAAUCUCUCCAAAGUUUCCAAAAUAUUCUCAAACUUUCAAAUUAAAAAAAGAAAAAACACCUCUCAACCUUCUAAAUUUUAAAAAAUUACUUUUCCAUUUUUUUUUAAUUUUUCGAGACAUCCUUGAGACGAUAAGGAAGUUUUAGGUAGUCGUAGAGUACUUUAUGAACUAAUUUUCAUUCAUUUUAUAGGAUUUAGUCAUUCUAAACUAACGUUGUUGGCUUUGGAUCAUCCAAACAAAGAUCUCUCGAUUAACUUUAACCAAAUCUUAAUGGCUCAACUUAAAAUGUCAUAUUGACAAAAUCAUCAAAAUCUUUCACUUUACAAAAAU